rnacentral:rRNA from 1 species
GACGAACGCUGGCGGCGUGCUUAACACAUGCAAGUCGAACGGAAAGGCCCUGCUUUUGUGGGGUGCUCGAGUGGCGAACGGGUGAGUAACACGUGAGUAACCUGCCCUUGACUUUGGGAUAACUUCAGGAAACUGGGGCUAAUACCGGAUAGGAGCUCCUGCUGCAUGGUGGGGGUUGGAAAGUUUCGGCGGUUUGGGAUGGACUCGCGGCUUAUCAGCUUGUUGGUGGGGUAGUGGCUUACCAAGGCUUUGACGGGUAGCCGGCCUGAGAGGGUGACCGGCCACAUUGGGACUGAGAGACGGCCCAGACUGCUACGGGGGACAGCGGUGGGGAACAUUGCACAGUGGGCGCGAGCCUGAUGAGGCGGCGCCGCGUUCGGAAUGACGUCCUUCGGGGUGAAAAACGCUUUCGCCUAUGACGAAGCGUGAGUGACGGUAAUGGGUGAAUAAGCACCGGCUAACUACGUG